UUCUUAUCAAGAGAAGCCGAGGGACUGGUCCGUUGACGCUUCAGCAACCUCUACAUGAAGUAGAAAGGUGCUAAUUCCAGCAAGCAUAGUCUUGAGAGAUAAGAG
rnacentral:ncRNA from 2 species